GCCUAGUUUUUCCCAGCCAGGCCCAGAGUCUGAGAGAGGGUUAAUAGGCAGGAAGCUGAAGCCAUCGCAGACUAAUACGGAAGAUGGCUCUUGCUCACCAGAGCCUCACAAAGAUAAUCGCUCAGGAAGUGUUUCAGCCAAUCCGGGGCCGCCUUACACUCCGAUUUGCCGGGGCAGCCAAUCGGGGAUGAGCUUUUAUUAGGCGGCCAGAUCAUCAAGCCGAAGUGCCAAACCCUUUUUCUGUGAGAACUAGGAGCCUGUCCUCCAUGUUUUAUAAGUAUUGACAUUACACAGUGUUAACAAUGCAUCCACAGAGCUUGGCUGAAGAGGAAAUAAAAACAGAACAGGAGGUGGUAGAGGGCAUGGAUAUCUCUACUCGCUCCAAAGAAGCUUGGAGAUUGUCAUACGUCAGUUUGUCUAGAGGUGCCUCAUUCUUCUUCAUGGCUGUAUCCCGCAGUAUGUUAUCAGGCCAACUCCCAGUUUG